GUGCGAGACCGAUAGCGAACAAGUACCGUGAGGGAAAGAUGAAAAGAACUUUGAAAAGAGAGUUAAAGAGUACCUGAAACUGCUGAAAGGGAACCGAAUCGUUUCCAGUGUCUAUAAUCCGUGGUAUAUUUCAUUGGCGAGUGUGUGCGUGCGUGUGCUGUGGCAGCGGCUUUUUUGGCUGCGCUCGGCGUGUGUGCUGUGUGUGCUUGCUGGUGCCCUGUGCUGCGGUGGGACGUCAAGGUCAGUUCGUAUGCUGCGGGAAAUGGCCGCCGAGGAGGUAGGGCUUACGCUUGCGUUUGUCUGUUAUAUCUUGGUGGACGAGUAGUCGCGGUUGGGACUGAGGUGCCUACAACGUGUUUUUGAGUGGGCCUGUGUCUCUGUGUGCGCCGUGUGCGGAUAGCUUGCUAUGCGUGUGUGGUUGUGUGUGGAUUGAUGUGGGUUUUAACUUGUUGCUGUUCGGGACUUUGAA
rnacentral:rRNA from 1 species